rnacentral:rRNA from 1 species
AACGAACGCUGGCGGCAUGCCUAACACAUGCAAGUCGAACGAGACCUUCGGGUCUAGUGGCGCAUGGGUGCGUAACGCGUGGGAACCUGCCCUUAGGUUCGGAAUAACUCCCCGAAAGGGGUGCUAAUACCGGAUAAUGUCUUCGGACCAAAGAUUUAUCGCCUUUGGAUGGGCCCGCGUUGGAUUAGCUAGUUGGUAGGGUAAAAGCCUACCAAGGCGACGAUCCAUAGCUGGUCUGAGAGGAUGAUCAGACACACUGGGACUGAGACACGGCCCAGACUCCUACGGGAGGCAGCAGUGGGGAAUAUUGGACAAUGGGCGAAAGCCUGAUCCAGCAAUGCCGCGUGAGUGAUGAAGGCCUUAGGGUUGUAAAGCUCUUUUACCCGGGAUGAUAAUGACAGUACCGGGAGAAUAAGCUCCGGCUAACUCCGUG